CUUGCGCAUUUCCUGUUCCGGACGUCUCAUAGAUACGGAUUCAUGCUGUGGGUGGCUCAGUGCUGGGGCACAUGUUUAGCAUCCAUGAGCCCCUGGGUUCCCUCUCAAGUACUUAGAAGAAAGAAAAAAAGGGAGAGGCUGAGGCAGGAGGGUCACUCAUGUAUUGGAUUAGCAAACCCUGUCUCAAAAAAUAAACAUGGGCUGGGGAUACAGCUCAGUGAGAGGGGACGGGGUUCCAUCAACAGCACUCAGAAAAAAGGAUCAUGGCGCGCGUGGUCUUUUGCUUGUAGAUGUCACACCACAGGCGGGCGCCCAGGCCACCCCGACCCGAUGACACCCACCUGGCUGGACCCUCUAUACCAAAUCCCCGUCCUGUGGGAAUCCCGGGGCUCCACCCCUCCGAGCAGCUGGGUGUGUCUCCUUGCGUCCCCAGUUCCAGUCGCGUGUUGGGGCGCCCUGCCCUGUACCCCGGAGGAGGAAGAACAGAGGGCGGUGGGGAGCGGCGGGGCGGUGUCCGGCGCUCUUCUGCGGCGGAGGGCGAGGGCGGUGACCCGGCCACUCCGUCCUGCCCCCCGUCCCGUUUGUCCGCAGCGGGCGUGGGCGCGGGGGGCUCCGCCCCGUGGCUGCGCGCGCACCUGCUCCCGGCCCCCGCGACCCCAACGCGCGGUGAAAUUAAGGCCCCGAGCUGCUCAACGGCAGGAUUUCAACCUUCCCUCUGCUUCGUCCUCCUCUGCACAAAGCCCUCCGGAAGCUCCGCCCUCAGAGCUGCAGGGACGGCCUCCGCAGCAGCGGCCCCAGCCUCUAGCAAACCCGGCGGCCGGCAGAGGCGUGUGCAGACGCGGGUCGAGCCCGCCGGUGAGGCUUUCCGACGGCUGCGGCUGCCCCCUCGGGCACCGGGCCCCAGGCUUGCCGCUCUGCGGGCUCGAGCCGGGGCGCGGCACGUUUGAGCCUGUCAGUCCGCACUGGCACCCGGGCCGCAGGAAUUCGUCUAAAUUCCACCCUGAGCACCUACACUGGACGCGGGCAAGGACGUGGCCGAGCCGCCCUGGGCGGCAGCGACAGAGGCCCUGAGCCCGCAGCGAGGCUCCCACGCAGCCGCCUGGUGCCCGCUCCCGGGGCAGCUCUGUGGGGCCCAGUCUGAGUCCUCUGGGCUCCCCUGGCCUGCGGUUAGUGACUGACAAGCAGCUCUCUUGGCCCCAGGGUAGUUACUCUGAAGCUGCUGCAGCACAAAGACCAAAGGGGAAAUAAAUGUUUCGUGGUCUGGACCAGCGAGGGAGGGAAGGAAAUAAAUAGCGGCAUCCUCAAUUUAAGUGCAGGCUUCCCACCCACGGCCGGCGAGUCCUGCCCUCGGCUUCUGGCUCUCUUCACCCCGCUGGGGUGAAACUGCAGCCCCCAGGCUCCAGCCUGAGCUGCGGGAGGCCGGGCCUGCGCUGCCACGGUCCCAGAGAGGGUCUGCCAGCCUCCUGAGCAGAGCUGGGAGCUCUCCGAGGGAGUCAGGGCCUUCUCUGUGGGUGAGGAACAGGCAGCCCUGGGGUGUCCAGGCAGGAGGGCGCCCAGCCCCUCUACUGAAGCCCAAAGCUGGUUAUUAGCCCACUGCCCUGGGGACCAACGACCGGCAUAGCCCCUUCACACACCGCACAGACGUUUCCUAGGAGGAAAUCACAGGGACAAAAAUGACCACUUUCAGUUUUCUUUAAAAAAGUUCCUUCAUCUCAAGAUGCAAGGUAUCACCGCUGCCCGGAGGAGGAGACCUUUCAGCUGGACCUGGUCCCUAGUGGGACCCCCUGGUCCCUAGUGGGACCUCUGGAGGUGGCGAUGGGUGGCAUGCAGGCUUGGGGUGGAGAGCUGAGGAACCAGGCGCUUGCAGGGGCAUCUCAGGUCACCCCUGGGCUAACGGGGCUAACAGGGCUGCUGGAGCAGCCCACAGCCUGGGUUCUGACGUCCAGCAUCCAGUCCCCGGCUCGGAGACAAGCCGUAUUUGCUGCCCACCAUCUGUGACCACUGCCUGGAGCACGGGAGCGCAGGCCCCUCCCUCCCUGCCAAAACCUGGCUGGGGACUCCAGCUUCUUGAGGGUGAGCGUGGAGCGCAGGGUGAGUCCCCAGAGAGGAUUCAGCUGUGGCUGCGGGUUUACGCCCCCUCUCCUCCCUAUCAGAGGAGAAGCAGCCCCAAGGGGGUGUGGACCUUGGCCUCUCACGAAAGAAAAGGGCCUGGACCUGGGUCACAGCAAGGGGCAGUGGCCUCAAACCUGGGGAGCAGGUGGGGGCAGGCCGGGCACUCCUGGGCUGGGAACUCCAGGCCUUGGCAGGUGUGGAAGCCUCAUGCAGGGGAUCACCCUGCCCCCUGCACCAGCCCUGUGGAGGGCAGUGCUGUCCUCCUUGCAGCCCUCUCCCCUAGCCCAGGGAGGACAGUGCUGGGAA
rnacentral:lncRNA from 1 species